UCCAGACUCCUACGGGAGGCAGCAGUGGGGAAUAUUGCACAAUGGGGGAAACCCUGAUGCAGCGACGCCGCGUGAGUGAAGAAGUAUCUCGGUAUGUAAAGCUCUGUCAGCAGGGAAGAAGAAUGACGGUACCUGACCAAGAAGCCCCGGCUAACUACGUGCCAGCAGCCGCGGUAAUGCGUAGGGGGCAAGCGUUAUCCGGAUUUACUGGGUGUAAAGGGAGCGUAGACGGCAGGGCAAGUCUGGAGUGAAAGGCGGGGGCCCAACCCCCGGACUGCUCUGGAAACUGCCAGGCUGGAGUGCAGGAGAGGUAAGUGGAAUUCCUAGUGUAGCGGUGAAAUGCGUAGAUAUUAGGAGGAACACCAGUGGCGAAGGCGGCUUACUGGACUGUAACUGACGUUGAGGCUCGAAAGCGUGGGGAGCAAACAGGAUUAGAUACCCGCGUAA
rnacentral:rRNA from 1 species